rnacentral:rRNA from 1 species
UCUGGGACAAGCCCUGGAAACGGGGUCUAAUACCGGAUAACACUCUGUCCUGCAUGGGACGGGGUUAAAAGCUCCGGCGGUGAAGGAUGAGCCCGCGGCCUAUCAGCUUGUUGGUGGGGUAAUGGCCUACCAAGGCGACGACGGGUAGCCGGCCUGAGAGGGCGACCGGCCACACUGGGACUGAGACACGGCCCAGACUCCUACGGGAGGCAGCAGUGGGGAAUAUUGCACAAUGGGCGAAAGCCUGAUGCAGCGACGCCGCGUGAGGGAUGACGGCCUUCGGGUUGUAAACCUCUUUCAGCAGGGAAGAAGCGCAAGUGACGGUACCUGCAGAAGAAGCACCGGCUAACUACGUGCCAGCAGCCGCGGUAAUACGUAGGGUGCGAGCGUUGUCCGGAAUUAUUGGGCGUAAAGAGCUCGUAGGCGGCUUGUCACGUCGGAUGUGAAAGCUCGGGGCUUAACCCCGAGUCUGCAUUCGAUACGGGCUAGCUAGAGUGUGGUAGGGGAGAUCGGAAUUCCUGGUGUAGCGGUGAAAUGCGCAGAUAUCAGGAGGAACACCGGUGGCGAAGGCGGAUCUCUGGGCCAUUACUGACGCUGAGGAGCGAAAGCGUGGGGAGCGAACAGGAUUAGAUACCCUGGUAGUCCACGCCGUAAACGUUGGGAACUAGGUGUUGGCGACAUUCCACGUCGUCGGUGCCGCAGCUAACGCAUUAAGUUCCCCGCCUGG